rnacentral:lncRNA from 1 species
CGCUGGCUUACGGAAAGCCUCUUAGCUCAGGUGCUACAAGAGCCACAUGGUCCCAGAAGGAGUGGUGCGCCGCGGGAAUACUUGGUUCGCACUGCCACCCCCGAGAGUGCCUCAUUCCUGCGUACUGCGCCUGCGUACUGCGCCUGCGUACUGCACCUGCGAUAAAGAGGAGGCGCCUCAGGCCAGGUGCAUGGCCAGAGGCCAACUGGGAUUCCUGAUAAGGGAUUUGCUCCAGCCGGGAGCCUGGUGCAUCCUGAGCAGGGAAUGGAACUCAGGACCUCACACUUGACAGGCAGGCAGUGUGCUGCUGAGCUGUAUCCCCAGCCCGGUGAAGCGAUUCUUGAUCUCCACUGCAACACCUGUGUUUCAAGUUGGACGAACCGAAGCUGUUCUAUACCAUGACCCAUGAAUGUGCCAAAGAAGCCAUCUUCUUAUUAAAAACGAUUAGUUAUUAAUCAUCUUGACUCCCAAAUACGAUGAGGAACUCAUAUCUGCUCUGACAACAGUUUCCAAAACAGGAGCUCAUACCUUUUAUCAGAGAGAGGGAAAAUUGCUUCCCUUUGAAAUGGGAAUUGAUUUUUUGUGCCUAACACAUGAAGCAUGUAUGUAACAGUCCAGCACCAUGCUGAGAUCUAUGCGAGAGGAGAGUGAUUCCUGCGGGGAGAGAGUGGUUCUCACGCCCUGUGUAGGGUAAACCUAACAUCUAGCUGCAGAGUUCCAGCAACAUGCAGUGGG